GACGAACGCUGGCGGCGUGCCUAAUACAUGCAAGUUGAGCGCUGAAGGUUGGUACUUGUACCAACUGGAUGAGCAGCGAACGGGUGAGUAAUGCGUGGGGAAUCUGCCUUUGAGCGGGGGACAACAUUUGGAAACGAAUGCUAAUACCGCAUAAAAACUUUAAACACAAGUUUUAAGUUUGAAAGAUGCAAUUGCAUCACUCAAAGAUGAUCCCGCGUUGUAUUAGCUAGUUGGUGAGGUAAAGGCUCACCAAGGCGAUGAUACAUAGCCGACCUGAGAGGGUGAUCGGCCACAUUGGGACUGGGACACGGCCCAAACUCCUACGGGAGGCAGCAGUAGGGGAUCUUCGGCAAUGGACGAAAGUCUGACCGAGCAACGCCGCGUGAGUGAAGGAGGGUUUCGGAUCGUAAAACUCUGUUGGUAGGGAAGAACGUUGGUGAGAGUGGAAAGCUCAUCAAGUGACGGUAACUACCCAGAAAGGGACGGCUAACUACGUG
rnacentral:rRNA from 1 species